rnacentral:lncRNA from 1 species
ACUCAUCUCAUAUUUCAUUCUCUAACUCUCAAAACCUAAACCACCUCCAUCCCACCACCACACCUCCACCAUCAAAACCACCGUCGCCACUGUACAUCCACCGUCACCACCACCACUACACCGUCACCACCACAAAACCCAUCACCGCUACACCUCCACCAUCAACACCACCGUCGCCGUCGCCACUGCACCUCCACCGUCACCACCAUUACACCGUCACCGCCACAACACCCACCACCGCUACACCUCCACCGUCACCACCAUCACCACUGCACCUCCAUCAACACCUCCACCAUCAACACCACAACACCCACCACCGCUACAAUGGAUGAUCAGAUCUUUGGGGGUUUUGUUCUUCAAUUGGUUUCUGACGAAAUUAGGUAAGAUGAUGAUACCAGGUGAGGGGCAGAUGGUUGUAGCAAGAUCUUGAAGAAGGAAGGAUUAUGUCGAUGAGCCAUUCAAAGUUUGCACAGAUUCAAGAGUGGGUAUAGUAUUGAUUGUAUGCAUCUUUUCUCUAUUUGAUGAACAAUUUGGAAUUGAAUUGGGUGUUUAUAUUUCUUCAUACUCGAGAAUAAAAUGAUACCAUUCAGUGAUAUUUUGAGUUGAAAUAUUUU